rnacentral:rRNA from 1 species
AACGACUCUCGGCAACGGAUAUCUCGGCUCUCGCAUCGAUGAAGAACGUAGCGAAAUGCGAUACUUGGUGUGAAUUGCAGAAUCCCGUGAACCAUCGAGUUUUUGAACGCAAGUUGCGCCCCAAGCCGCCAGGUAAGGGCACGUCUGCCUGGGUGUCACGC